rnacentral:tRNA from 1 species
GGAGAGGUGCGUGAGCUGGUUGAAACGAUCCGCCUCGAAAGCGGACAUACCUUAACGGGUAUCGGGGGUUCGAAUCCCUCCCUCUCCGCCA